GUGCUUGCUUUGACAGCAUGUAUACUAAAAUUGGAAUAAUGCAGAGAAGAUCAGCAUGGCCUCCGUGCAAGGAUGACAUGCAAAUUCGUGAAGCAUUCCAUUUUUAA
rnacentral:snRNA from 1 species